rnacentral:rRNA from 1 species
ACGCUCGACACCUACGGAGGCAGCAGUGGGGAAGUAAUUGCACAAAUGGGGGAAACCCGUACGAUGCAGCGACGCCGCGUGAGCGAAGAAGUAUUUCGGUAUGUAAAGACUCUAUCAGCAGGGAAGGAAAACUAGACGGUACCUGACUAAGAAGCACCGGCUAAAUACGUGCUAGCAGCCGCGGUAAUCUGAGCGGGCUGGCAAGGC